GAGCACGGUCGGUAGGUAAGGCUACCACGGGGAUACGGGUUGCUGCCGCAACACAGUGGAGACACUGCAAGUUGGUCAACAGUCGUUGUCGAUUUCAAGGCUUCGACUAAUGCAACACCACCGCCCUGCGAAGCUGAAGCUUGAACGACAAGAUUAAGGUU
rnacentral:sRNA from 19 species